rnacentral:rRNA from 1 species
UACGUAGGGUGCGAGCGUUGUCCGGAAUUAUUGGGCGUAAAGGGCUCGUAGGCGGUUUGUCGCGUCUGCCGUGAAGUCCGGGCUCAACUCCGGAUCUGCGGUGGUACGGGCAGACUAGAGUGAUGUAGGGGAGAACUGGAAUUCCUGGUGUAGGCGGUGAAAUGCGCAGAUAAUCAGGAGGAACACCGAUGGCGAAGGCAGGUCUCUGGCAUUAACUGACGCUGAGGAGCGAAAGCAUGGGGAGCGAACAGG